ACUGACAGCCAUGGUUACCGCGGCUGCUGGCACGGAGUUAGCCGGUGCUUCUUCUGUGAGUGAUGUCCUUCCUGCCGGCUAUUAACCCGCAGGCCUUCUUCCUCACUGAAAGUGCUUUACAACCCGAAGGCCUUCUUCACACACGCGGCAUGGCUGGAUCAGGGUUGCCCCCAUUGUCCAAUAUUCCCCACUGCUGCCUCCCGUAGGAGUCUGGGCCGUGUCUCAGUCCCAGUGUGGCUGAUCAUCCUCUCAGACCAGCUACGGAUCGUCGCCUUGGUGAGCCGUUACCUCACCAACCAGCUAAUCCGACAUAGGCUCAUCCGAUAGCGCGAGGCCCGAAGGUCCCCCGCUUUCCCCCGUAGGGCGUAUGCGGUAUUAGCCUGGGUUUCCCCAGGUUAUCCCCCACUACCGGGCAGAUUCCUAUGCAUUACUCACCCGUCGCCGCUCGCCACCAGGGAGCAAGCUCCCCGUGCUGCCGCUCGACUUGCAUGUGUUAGGCCUG
rnacentral:rRNA from 1 species